GACGAGUCUCACGAACGUUAUUCGGAAUUACUGGGCUUAAAGGGUGCGUAGGCGGUGGAGUAAGUCGGAUGUGAAAUACCAUAGCUUAACUAUGGAACUGCACUCGAUACUACUUUGCUAGAGUAAGACAGAGGUGAGUGGAACUGAGGGCGGAGCGGUGAAAUGCGUUGAUAUCCUCAGGAACACCGGUGGCGAAGGCGACUCACUGGGUCUUUACUGACGCUGAUGCACGAAAGCUAGGGUAGCAAACGGG
rnacentral:rRNA from 1 species